UGCAGAAAGAGAAAAAAUUAAUUCCAUUUCGAAUGAUAUUUGAAUGAUAUAAUUAAUAAGAAUGUUUUUUAUCAGUUAGUAAACUGGCAAAUUGUUUACUAAUGAAGCUGUACUUCAGAAUUUUAACUCGUUUUUGAAUAAAUUUUCUAGACAAUCAAACUGCUCUUAAUGAUGCAGCAGAUAAUGUUUAUUUUAUGUUUGGGGGUAAGUUUUAUAUUUGUCCUGACGAAUUUAGAACAAAAAAAUAAAUUCUGCUAAAAAAAGUAAUUUUUCUUGAUUUAUCUAAUAAUUUUUACAAGUUUAUCUUUACAAGUUACAUUUUUACAAAAACAAAUAAAUGCAAGUUUAGUAUUGUUAUUUUUUGCGAUUAACCCUUUUGAGUUAUGUAUUGCUAAGGGCUAGACUUUGAAAAUUUAAUUUAUUUGCAUUGUAUGACAUACAGCCCUUUAUGGCGAAUUAUUGUUUCAAAUUUGAUUAUAAAAAAUAAUAAAUAAGUACUUGCCGAGUUUCUUUGAUAAAAAUUUUUUUUAUUGAAAAUUUUAUAAGAAAUUUAUUAUUUAAAUUUCACGCAAAAUACAAAUUGCGGUAAUUUCUAGUAC